AUUGAACGCUGGCGGCAUGCUUUACACAUGCAAGUCGAACGGUAACAGGCCGCAAGGUGCUGACGAGUGGCGAACGGGUGAGUAAUGCAUCGGAACGUGCCCAGUCGUGGGGGAUAACGCAGCGAAAGCUGUGCUAAUACCGCAUACGAUCUAUGGAUGAAAGCGGGGGACCGUAAGGCCUCGCGCGAUUGGAGCGGCCGAUGUCAGAUUAGGUAGUUGGUGGGGUAAAGGCCGACCAAGCCGACGAUCUGUAGCUGGUCUGAGAGGACGACCAGCCACACUGGGACUGAGACACGGCCAAGACUCCUACGGGAGGCAGCAGUGGGGAAUUUUGGACAAUGGGCGCAAGCCUGAUCCAGCAAUGCCGCGUGCAGGAAGAAGGCCUUCGGGUUGUAAACUGCUUUUGUACGGAACGAAAAGACUCUUUCUAAUAAAGAGGGUCCAUGACGGUACCGUAAGAAUAAGCACCGGCUAACUACGUGCCAGCCGCCGCGGUAACAC
rnacentral:rRNA from 1 species